CUGUAGUCACUGUUAGGGUGAGAGAAGUCAAGGUAGGAAGUAGCCCAGGGAUACAGUAGUAAGGGCUAGGACUUUGCAGACUUUGUUUGUUGUAGUGUCCAUGGACUGGAACCCAGUGUAGAGGGUGGGCCUGGGUUCCCUUGCUAGCCACUGGGGAAGUGGCACUGUUAAGGGGCAGUGAGAAAGAAGGCUGCCUUGGACAAUAGAUCCUGAGGAAUUUGAUGCAUGCAAUACCCCGAUGGGAAAACUACAGUCACCUGGCCAGAGGAAUGAACACAGAGCACCCUGAGUUUCAGGGAGAGAGCAGUGGCAGGGUGUGCAGUGAGUGAGUGGGUGUUGGAUGUGGAAAGAGCGGCCAGAAGGAGGUGCCCCUACUGGAGCCCCAGUCAUGAACCAGGACCCCGUUGUGCCAUUCAGUGUAUGAACACAGAACAGAAAGAUGAUCCCUGUGACCUAGGGCUCAUACACUCUAAGGAUAAGACAAGAGAUGGAUGUGGACAGACUACAAAGAAACAAUGAGACAAAGAGAACUCCACUAAUUUACAUUAUUAAGCAGCUGAGUCUGGAAGUCUCAUGAGAGAGGCUGUUUUUGCAGUAUUUCCAGCCUGACCAGAAGUAUGACUUACCAGAGAUCUGGACAGAAAAUCCGUUCUCCUCCAGCACAAAGGCCAAUCCUUAAUCAUACAAAGUCUCUUUGAUGUCAGUGGGUGUUUUGCCUGAAUAACAGCUGGAGGAUCAGGCUCCAAUCUACCCAACAGAAUUGGAUAGGAGCUGGUCCUGCCCUUUUUGGUACUAAAUGCCCUGCUUUGUAGUAUCAGUUUGCAGAAUUGGUCCCAUAGUUCUGCUAAGCAUCCAGAAUUUUGCGUUUUUACUUGCACUAAAUUGAAUUCUCAGUCUUUUCAUCUUGUACCUGAACCUUCAAUGUGCUGAGCUCCCUUGACUCCCACUGAAAUGAAUAUGAAUGGAGGUUGCUCAGUGUCUCACACUGAGUUAUUCAACUGCUCACAGGAUUGGGCCCUUGGAAUGGAAGCUUUGUAAAGGAAUAAGAUUGUUGAGGGACUGUUGUCACAGUUCGUGGCAACUACAGCUGUAUUCUCCCUCCAUGGUUCAGAAAGAACUCCCAGCUCCUCAUGUCUCUUGAGCUGACACCUGCAUCUGUCUUUCUUCUGACUGGGGUUUUCCCAAACAGCAUGGUUCCCUGCCUACAUUAGGAGCAAGCCAGA